rnacentral:ncRNA from 2 species
ACAGCAUAGGCCGGAGUCGGCGCCCGCGAGGGCUCAAUAGGGAAGGCGGUGAGAAUCCGCCACGGUCCCGCCGCUGUGACCGGGGACGAAAGUCGCGUGACAAGCCACUGAUCCCGCAAGGGAUUGGGAAGGCGCGGCAAGUAGGAUGAUCCGGGAGUCAGAAGACCUGCCGAUUCCAAGAACGUUUG